GUGCUCGCUUCAGCAGCACAUAUACUAAAAUUGGAAUGAUACAGAGAUUAGCAUGACCCCUGCGCAAGGAUG
rnacentral:snRNA from 1 species